UACGUAGGGGGCAAGCGUUGUCCGGAUUUAUUGGGCGUAAAGAGCGUGUAGGCGGCUUGGUAGGUCCGCUGUGAAAACUCGAGGCUCAACCUCGAGAUGUCGGCGGAAACCACUUGGCUAGAGUCCGGAAGAGGAGAGUGGAAUUCCUGGUGUAGCGGUGAAAUGCGCAGAUAUCAGGAAGAACACCCGUGGCGAAGGCGGCCUGCUGGGCAGUAGCUGACGCUGAGGCGCGACAGCGGUGGGGAGCAAACAGG
rnacentral:rRNA from 1 species